rnacentral:misc_RNA from 1 species
ACCCGGAAACCAUGGAAAUCAUCCCCGGCCUCGCGCGGCAAUGGGCGGUUUCGAACGAUGGGCGGACGAUCUACUUCCGGAUCGACCCGGAGGCACGCUAUUCGGAUGGGAAACCGGUCCGCGCCCUGGACUUCCUCGUGGGGGUCUAUCUGCGCGUGUCGGAUUACAUCGUGAACCCCUAUGGAAAGCAGUAUUUCCGGGAAAACAUGGCGCAGGUGGCCAUGUACGAUGAUCUGACCGUUUCCGUCUCGCUGCCCGAAGCCAAACUCUACGCCCCGGUGAUCGCCGGGCAGGUCCAGCCGUCUCCAGCACAUUUCUAUCAGGAGUAUGGAGCCGACUACAGCGAGCGUUACCAGUGGAAGUUCCCGCCGACCACCGGAGCUUACGAGGUCCGUCCGGAAGACAUCGUCAAGGGAGUCUCGAUCACCCAGACCCGCGUCAUGGACUGGUGGGCGAAGGACCGGAAGUACUACCGUUAUCGUUUCAAUCCGGACCGCAUCGUGAGCACGGUUGUGCGCGACGAGUCCAAGGCCUUCGAACUGUUCGCUGCGGGCGUGCUGGACACUUUCCUCAUCACCCGGCCGGAGCGUUGGUACGAGAAGUCCGAGAUCGAGCCGGUUUACAAGGGCUACAUCGAGCGGGUGAUGUUCUACAACCAGUAUCCGAAGGUCCCGCUCGGCCUCUAUCUGAAUGUGAGCAAGCCCCUGCUCGAUGACCGCAACGUGCGCGUUGGCAUCCAGCACGCGAUCCACUGGCAGAAGGUCAUCGACGUCAUUUUCCGCGGGGACUAUCAGCGGCUCAACGCGUUCAACGAAGGCUACAAGCAUUUCAGCGAUCCCUCGAUCCGCGCCCGUCCGUUUUCCAACGAGCUGGCCCGCGAGGCGUUCCGCGCCGCCGGGUUCACCGCAGAGGGGGACGAUGGCAUCCUGAGAAAGCCGGACGGCACCCGCUUGUCGAUCUCGGUCACUUAUCCGAACGUGCCGAUUUACGAUCGGAUCUUCGCCAUCCUGCGCGAGGAGGCGAAGCGUUGCGGCUUCGACCUGCGCCUCGAUGGAAUGGAGUACACGGUUUCCUACAAGAAGGAGAUGCAGAAACAGCACGAGAUCGCCUUCGGUAGCUGGAACAUCACGCCGCCAAUCCCGGAUUUCCACCAGUUCCUCCAUUCGUCGAACGCGCGCGACGAAAAGGGCAACCUGAAACCCCAGACCAACAACACCUUUGUCUGGGGAAGGCCGGACACCGAUGCGCUGUCCGAGAAGGUCCGCUCGGCCCGCAGCAUCGAGGAGAUGCGCAACGCCAGUUGGAAACUCCAGCACAUCAUCCACGACGAGGCGAUCUUCGUGCCGGGCUUUUCGAUGGACUUCGUGCGCGUCGGAUCGUGGCGCUGGGUGCGUUGGCCCGAUUGCGAGAACACACGCUUCAGCCCUCCCGCCGUCUAUGAACCGCACGAGUCGUUCGUAUUCUGGGUCGAUGAGGACAUGCAGCGGGAGACCCAGGCCGCGCGCCGUGCGGGCAAGGCGUAUCCCGAAUCCACCCGGAUCGUGGACGCCUAUCGCAUGCAACCGAAGAACACCGCCGAACCCGCGGACUCCAACGAGGACCCCGACGAACCAUGAUUGGCGAAAACAUCCUCGAAGUGGACAAAUUGAUCACGUCGUUCGAGACGGAUCGCGGGUUGUUGCGUGCGGUUGAUCAGGUGUCCUUCGUCGUGCCCGAGGGGAAAACCGUCGGCAUCGUGGGCGAGUCCGGUUGUGGCAAGAGCGUGACCGCCAUGUCCAUCGUGCGGUUGUUGCCCCAGCCGGCGGGCAAGAUCCUCGGCGGACACGUGUUUUUCAAGGGGCGUGACAUCCUGCGGGCGGGUGAGGCCGAGAUGCGCAGGAUCCGCGGUGGCGACAUCGGCGUGAUCUUCCAGGAACCGAUGGCCGCGCUCAAUCCGGUCCAUCGCAUCGGCAGGCAGGUUUCCGAGGUGUUCCGGCUUCACAAGAAGAUCUCCCGGAAAGACGCGUGGGACGCCUCCAUCGAGAUGCUGAAACUCGUGCGCAUCCCCGCGCCGGAGAAGCGCAUGAUGGACUACCCGCACCACCUGUCAGGCGGCAUGCGCCAGCGCAUCGUCAUCGCGCUGGCAUUGGCCUGCCGCCCCUCGCUGGUGAUCGCGGACGAACCCACCACCGCCCUGGACGUCACCGUGCAGGCGCAGAUCCUCGAUCUGAUAGGCCGCCUCCAGUCGGAGAUGAAGAUGUCCGUCAUCCUCAUCACCCACGACCUUGGCGUGAUCGCCGAGACCUGUGACGAGGUGGUGGUGAUGUAUGCCGGCCGUGUGGUCGAGCGCGCCUCCGCCGAGGAGAUCUUCGCCAAUCCGCUGCACGCCUAUACCAAGGGGCUUCUUCAUUCGAUUCCGACGCUCGACACGCCGUCGAAGGCCCUGCUCAACACGAUUCCCGGCAUGGUCGCGUCCUUGGCGGAUCACACGCACGCUUGUCGAUUCUGCCAGCGCAUGGGCCGGAUCACGGUGGGCGGUGUCGGCACCCGCGAACGACCUGGAUUCGC